UGGCCGUGACGCAGCGUCUGCUUGAUGAGCGAGAUAGUGCAGCAGACAGCGGCGGCCGCGGCUUGUGUGCCAGUCUAUGCUUCAAACAAGUUUUGCAGCAGCAGUAACGUUAGGAAGCGUCGUUUUUUUACUGUCUCGAGAACUACGAAAACAUUUUGUGUGUUGCCGUGUGUCUGGGACGAAUUCAAGUACGAGCGAACGUAACAGCCAUUUCGUCUGCGGCGCCCACAGUGUUGCAGAAUGCCACGGAUGUUUUUCGAAAUUUCGAAGAACGAAAGGAGCGAGCUCGAGCGGCCAACGCAGCGCAACGGCAACAUGGCGGCCGUGCCGGCUGUUCUGCGAGUGUGCGCACCCCCGACCUUGCAGUCCACCGGUAACUUUCCGCUCGUGGCUGGGGGACGUGGUCGGAGCGCACGUCUCGAAUGCAUCGUCAAAAAUGUAAGCUGCCUUGUCUCCGCUAACCGUUCACGCUGAUUCGUAUAAGUACGCUCCGGUUCUCUUACAAACUCUCGGGGCCAUGGGAGAAAGCCAUUCCUGAAACACCUCAACAUUCUGCAGGCAUACUUCCCCACAUGUCUCCAAGGCUCUGGUGUGGCAUUGGAUGGACGGCUGCAAGUUCUUGAAGAACAAGAUACGUUCUGCACGCCGCAGGAUCUGACUGGACGUCAAAGAGAAAAUCCAGUAGAGGUAGAAGAAACGCACACAUGCCAUUGAACUGAUGGACUUCACAGCGUAAGCUGAGGCUUCUUGCGGAAGAUGGACCACCGGACCCCGGGGGCAGUCGUACAUGGGCGUCGCCCCACCGGCAAACUCGACCAUGGCGAGCUGCUCGAGUGUCCAGCGCAGCGGAGACACCCACUGCAGCCACGAGGUGACCAGAGACAGGUCCAUGAGGUGG